rnacentral:rRNA from 1 species
AGAGUUUGAUCAUGGCUCAGAACGAACGCUGGCGGCGUGCCUAAUACAUGCAAGUCGAACGUGAUUCCCGACUUCGGUUGGGAUGAAAGUGGCGAACGGGUGAGUAACACGUAAGUAAUCUGCCUUCAAGUUUGGGAUAACCCUGCCAACGCGGGGCUAAUACCGGAUGUGGUCCAGCAGACCCAUGUUUGCGGGAUUAAAGGUCGCGAGACCGCUUGGAGAUGAGCUUGCGGCCCAUUAGCUAGUUGGUGAGGUAACGGCCCACCAAGGCAGGGAUGGGUAGCCGGCCUGAGAGGGUGUACGGCCACAUUGGGACUGAGAUACGGCCCAGACUCCUACGGGAGGCAGCAGUAGGGAAUUUUGCGCAAUGGACGGAAGUCUGACGCAGCAACGCCCCGUGAAGGAUGAAGGCCUUCGGGUUGUAAACUUCUGUUGGAUGGGAAAAAAAGCCUUUUAAGAAGAAUUGAUGGUACCAUUCGAGUAAGCACCGGCUAACUACGUGCCAGCAGCCGCGGUAAUACGUAGGGUGCGAGCGUUGUUCGGAAUCACUGGGCGUAAAGGGAGCGUAGGCGGAACUGUAAGUUAGAAGUUUAAUACAUGGGCUCAACCCGUGGUCUGCUUUUAAUACUGCGGUUCUUGAGUAUGGGAGAGGGCGAUGGAAUUCCAGGUGUAGCGGUGGAAUGCGUAGAUAUCUGGAAGAACACCAGUAGCGAAGGCGGUCGCCUGGCCCAAUACUGACGCUGAGGCUCGAAAGCUGGGGGAGCAAACAGGAUUAGAUACCCUGGUAGUCCCAGCCGUAAACGAUGGACACUAGUUGCCGGGAGAGUCAAUCCUUCGGUGACGAAGCUAACGCAUUAAGUGUCCCGCCUGGGGAGUACGCCCGCAAGGGUGAAACUCAAAUGAAUUGACGG